UCUCCGUUGGUGAACCAGCGGAGGGAUCAUUGCUAAAUUCGCCCCUCGCGGGGUUAAUUUACUACCCUUUGUGAACAAACCUAUUGUUGCCUCGGUGGGCUGGCCCUUGCAAACAGGGCCCCGUCCCUCCCUCUCGGGGGGGUUGGAGCGAGCCUGCCGGUGGACGAUUAAUAACCUUAUGUAAUUGCAAUCAGCGUCAGUAACGAUAAAAUUAUUACAACUUUCAACAACGGAUCUCUUGGUUCUGGCAUCGAUGAAGAACGCAGC
rnacentral:misc_RNA from 1 species